AGAGUUUGAUCCUGGCUCAGGAUGAACGCUGGCGGCGUGCCUAAUACAUGCAAGUCGAACGCGCAGCGAGAGGUGCUUGCACCUUUCAAGCGAGUGGCGAACGGGUGAGUAACACGUGGAUAACCUGCCUCAAGGCUGGGGAUAACAUUUGGAAACAGAUGCUAAUACCGAAUAAAACUUAGUAUCGCAUGAUAUAAAGUCAAAAGGCGCUACGGCGUCACCUAGAGAUGGAUCCGCGGUGCAUUAGUUAGUUGGUGGGGUAAAGGCUUACCAAGACAAUGAUGCAUAGCCGAGUUGAGAGACUGAUCGGCCACAUUGGGACUGAGACACGGCCCAAACUCCUACGGGAGGCUGCAGUAGGGAAUCUUCCACAAUGGGCGCAAGCCUGAUGGAGCAACGCCGCGUGUGUGAUGAAGGCUUUCGGGUCGUAAAGCACUGUUGUAUGGGAAGAAAUGCUAAAAUAGGGAAUGAUUUUAGUUUGACGGUACCAUACCAGAAAGGGACGGCUAAAUACGUGCCAGCAGCCGCGGUAAUACGUAUGUCCCGAGCGUUAUCCGGAUUUAUUGGGCGUAAAGCGAGCGCAGACGGUUGAUUAAGUCUGAUGUGAAAGCCCGGAG
rnacentral:rRNA from 1 species